AUGAAACGCUGCGGGCAGGCCUAACACAUGCAAGUCGAGCGGUAGAGAGAAGCUUGCUUCUCUUGAGAGCGGCGGACGGGUGAGUAAUGCCUAGGAAUCUGCCUGGUAGUGGGGGAUAACGCUCGGAAACGGACGCUAAUACCGCAUACGUCCUACGGGAGAAAGCAGGGGACCUUCGGGCCUUGCGCUAUCAGAUGAGCCUAGGUCGGAUUAGCUAGUUGGUGAGGUAAUGGCUCACCAAGGCGACGAUCCGUAACUGGUCUGAGAGGAUGAUCAGUCACACUGGAACUGAGACACGGUCCAGACUCCUACGGGAGGCAGCAGUGGGGAAUAUUGGACAAUGGGCGAAAGCCUGAUCCAGCCAUGCCGCGUGUGUGAAGAAGGUCUUCGGAUUGUAAAGCACUUUAAGUUGGGAGGAAGGGCAGUUACCUAAUACGUAUCUGUUUUGACGUUACCGACAGAAUAAGCACCGGCUAACUCUGUGCCAGCAGCCGCGGUAAUACAGAGGGUGCAAGCGUUAAUCGGAAUUACUGGGCGUAAAGCGCGCGUAGGUGGUUUGUUAAGUUGGAUGUGAAAUCCCCGGGCUCAACCUGGGAACUGCAUUCAAAACUGACAAGCUAGAGUAUGGUAGAGGGUGGUGGAAUUUCCUGUGUAGCGGUGAAAUGCGUAGAUAUAGGAAGGAACACCAGUGGCGAAGGCGACCACCUGGACUGAUACUGACACUGAGGUGCGAAAGCGUGGGGAGCAAACAGGAUUAGAUACCCUGGUAGUCCACGCCGUAAACGAUGUCAACUAGCCGUUGGGAGCCUUGAGCUCUUAGUGGCGCAGCUAACGCAUUAAGUUGACCGCCUGGGGAGUACGGCCGCAGGUUAAAACU
rnacentral:rRNA from 1 species